GCAGCAUUGGACAAAGUGCUAUCUUCCACAAAGAGGUUGUCUGUUUGACCGAUAGGCAGUGUACAAUCUAUUUCAUUGCCAUAAUCCUGUUGUUUAUAACUAGAAGCUCAAAAGCGGAACAAUAGGAUCUUUAAAGAAGGCUACAUCAUGGCAACUCUUCAUAAAAUCGGAUUUUAAGACUUCUUGAAAAAGUGAAAAUACUUUUUACUGCAAGUGACCCCGGAAUCACAAUAUUUCAUUUAAUUUACAGCUGCACCAACAUGUGGACGAGCUAUCAACCCGAGUAUUGCAGAUUAUUAUGGCAAGUGAAAAAAUACAUUUCUGUUUAUAGUUUACCUAUUGACUGAUUUGCAUGUUUUUGGUCCUUAAACAUCAGCCCCUCAUUGCAUUCACAAGGACAUUAUCAGCCAAAACAAGGCUUAUAGAGAGAGUCACUUUUGACUUAGAAUUAAACUCCCAGUGACUAUACUGACAGUGUCAAAAGCCUAAAUUUCCCACCCUGUUCUAAAGCUAUAGCUAAUGGUAAGUUACUGACUCAUUCUCUAACAACUUAAAGGCAGUUUCUAAUGUUUGGGUACAAACUGAGGUUAAAAUAACAACAUAUGUUUCAAUAUCCUUUUUAGUUGCCUCGGUUUUCAAGAAGUGUAUUAGUGUAUGAUAAAUAUGACAUUUUAUUUGGAUAUACUUCAACGGUUCCUGUAGGUGGAACAAAGACCAUAAUGGUCAACGUCUCAGUUAACAAUCAACAGGCUGCAUACACAUACCUUGGUAAAGGCUUUCCUUUACUGCGCCUGAUCAAGCUCUCAAAAGGAGAAGAUGGUAGUGGAACUUGUUACACUGAGGUGCCUGAGUGCAAAGAAAAUUACCUUCUUAGACAUUCAGGAGAUAACACACUAAAUAUCACCCUAAGAGCGGUAACCAAGUUAAUGGAGGGCUAUUACAGGUUAUAUCCUUACUGCUUAGGAUCUAACCACAAUUGUACUACAGACCAACCGUUGAAGAGUUUUGUACUGACUGUUGAAGAUAAGCCAGAGCCAACAAAGGUGACAACUGUUAAGACAGACUCAGGCCCUACAGAACAGUUUUUUUCAGGUAAACCAAAGGUAACACAGGCUACAACAGUUACAACCAGUACAGGUUCUCAAAGUAAAAAGGCAUCAUUCAUGCAGCUGGAAUGAUAAAUUAAGGAUUAAAUUUAGGUACCUAAUGGUUAACAAAAAGAAGAUGGAGUGUGAAGCUUAAGCUCCAUCAUGUUGGGUUUGAAAUUUAAAUUCAGUGCAUCAGCAAAUUGAUUCACACAUUUAAUUUCACUUAGUUUACUACUAAGCUACUAUACAACAUGAGGUAGCUACAGUUAGAAUCUAAUAAGGCUUACAAGUGCGACCCUUUUCCUCUUUUUUACUUAGCAUGUAUGCUACAGACUUCAUUUUCAUUAUUGCAGGUAAACCAAAUGCUACACAGGUUCCAACCAUUACAGGUUCAGGCUCCAAGGAACCAGUUCCUGAAGGUAGCACAAAUUAUGUGGUCAUCAUCGGGGUGGUUUUUGCUGUAAUCAUAGUUGCUAUCCUGAUUGUGUUUUUAGUGGUUGUUU